rnacentral:rRNA from 1 species
AGUGAACGCUGGCGGUAGGCCUAACACAUGCAAGUCGAACGGCAGCACAGUAAGAGCUUGCUCUUACGGGUGGCGAGUGGCGGACGGGUGAGGAAUACAUCGGAAUCUACUUUUUCGUGGGGGAUAACGUAGGGAAACUUACGCUAAUACCGCAUACGACCUACGGGUGAAAGCAGGGGAUCUUCGGACCUUGCGCGAUUGGAUGCGCCGAUGUCGGAUUAGCUAGUUGGCGGGGUAAAGGCCCACCAAGGCGACGAUCCGUAGCUGGUCUGAGAGGAUGAUCAGCCACACUGGAACUGAGACACGGUCCAGACCCCUACGGGAGGCAGCAGUGGGGAAUAUUGGACAAUGGGCGCAAGCCUGAUCCAGCCAUACCGCGUGGGUGAAGAAGGCCUUCGGGUUGUAAAGCCCUUUUGUUGGGAAAGAAAAGCAGCAGGUUAAUACCCCGCUGUUCUGACGGUACCCAAAGAAUAAGCACCGGCUAACUUCGUG